rnacentral:hammerhead_ribozyme from 1 species
AGCCGAAACGCCCUCAGGGCGUCAGCCGGGGACGGUCUCCCGGCUCUGAUGAUGGUAGACCAGA